AGCCUCAUUCUAGAUGGAAAUGGGCACUGUCGUUCAUGGUGUCCAGAACCUGACUGCGGCUACACCGAGACGGGGGAGAGCCAGAGCGCUUCUCUCCCAGCAAGUGUCUCACAGGGUUGACCACAAGACCCCCAACAGUC